CCGCACCCGGUGGGAGAGAUGGCGCCAUUUAGUUCGGGCAACGCUAAGAUCGCGUUCUCCGAUUUUUCAGUAAGUGGCACCACGCCGAAGGCGCAACCCGCCCGGAAUCGCUCAGGCAAAAGGACCGCAGGGUGCAU
rnacentral:ncRNA from 2 species